UUCGCCGCCAUCGUAGAAACCAGCUAGUGACGCUAGGUACAGUCGCGUGUGAAAAAGUUUGUUCCGAAGAAUCCGGGAAGGGAACCCGUGCCAUUAAGCUGAUUUAGGCAGAGCUACUUGCUCUUACGUUGGUGAAGUUGUGGGCACAAAAAGAAAGCCCAUUUGACGCGCAGAAGUUCGAUACGCCCGAACCCCCGAGCGCCAGCACGACGGGGACGUCGACGGCGACGUUUUAAAGAAUCCGUCCUCGUCAGCUUGAAGGAACUAACGAAACUAGCAGCAGGGGGUCGCGUGAAACUUACAUCGUGACGAGAAAGCGAUCGGCAACCUCCAACGCCAACAAUUGAGCUUUUCGCAAAACCGCGUGCUUCAGCUGGCAGCGAUCGGCAACCUCCAACGCCAACAAUAGAGUGGUUCGUAAAACCGCAUGCUUCAGCUGGUGCAAAGCAGAACCUAUUUUGCCCGGAGAGCUUCCAACUUCCUCUACUGCCACCGUGUGCAUUCCGGCAAACGAAAAGUGAUCACUUUUGUGGUGAAAACGAAAACCACUUUGCGAAGAGCACCGCCUAUGCGACGGACUACCUGGCCGCAAGCAGCGACUAAAGCGCGAACGAAAGCGACAGACCCUUCUUAACAUCAGCAGAUAAAAGAAAACCCCUUAUAGGGGUUUUCUUGUUUAUUGCAGUUUCGUAGCAGUCAGGAUACUCAACAUUCGAUUCGUGGUGUUUGCAUGCGAGGCAUGAGUGCGAGUCUGCUCUGGUUUUAGUACCCGGCGGGAUUUCUUCCAGGAGAAGCGCGGGCACGCAUCGUAGCCGAGAUUGGUGGCUUAAUCAACAGAGGAACGAACACCGAAGCAGCGAUCACGACACUGGGGCUGACGGGAUCUAGCGCCCACUGGACGGACGUGUAGUCAGGAGAUUGUUGCGAAGACGCAUCAUGACCGCAGUGGCGUGGCAAGUGUUGAGAUGGGGCGCCCCGAUAGGUACCGUGAGUAGAAACCUAAGAGAAAUAUUUAGCAUGUAAAAUUGAUCUCUCGAGAGCAGGAAAGCAGGGAAUGAAGAGUAGGGAAGAUUCCAAAAUGGAAAAAUAAAGCUCUG